rnacentral:tRNA from 5 species
UGUUUUUGUAGUUGAUAUACAACGGUGGUUUUUCAGGCCGCAAGACUCUAGAAGAGUAAAAACU